rnacentral:misc_RNA from 1 species
AGCAGCCGCGGUAAUUCCAGCUCCAAUAGCGUAUAUUAAAGUUGUUGCAGUUAAAAAGCUCGUAGUUGAAUUUCGGGGUUAGUAGGUUGGUCAUGCCUCUGGUAUGUACUGGUCUCACUGAUUCCUCCUUCCUGAUGAACCUUAAUGCCAUUAAUUUGGUGUUGCGGGGAAUUUGGACUGUUAA